rnacentral:pre_miRNA from 1 species
AAAGACUUCAGGGGACAGUCGGUGUCUAGCAGUUUCCUACUGGCCCCUUAAGUCCCGGU